rnacentral:rRNA from 1 species
GGGAUAAUCCGGAGAAAUCCGGUCUAAUACCGCAUAAUAUCGUGAAUCUGCAUGGAUUUGCGAUUAAAGGAGCGAUCCGGUGACGGAUGGGCAUGCGUGACAUUAGCUAGUCGGCGGGGUAACGGCCCACCGAGGCGACGAUGUCUAGGGGUUCUGAGAGGAAGGUCCCCCACACUGGUACUGAGACACGGACCAGACUCCUACGGGAGGCAGCAGUGAGGAAUAUUGGUCAAUGGGCUUACGCCUGAACCAGCCAAGUCGCGUGAGGGAAGACUGCCCUAUGGGUUGUAAACCUCUUUUGUCAGGGAGCAACGCCGGCUACGUGUAGCCGGACUGAGAGUACCUGAAGAAAAAGCAUCGGCUAACUCCGUGCCAGCAGCCGCGGUAAUACGGAGGAUGCGAGCGUUAUCCGGAUUUAUUGGGUUUAAAGGGUGCGUAGGCGGAAUGCCAAGUCAGCGGUAAAAUCGCGGGGCUCAACCUCGCUCCGCCGUUGAAACUGGCGUUCUUGAGUGGGCGAGAAGUAUGCGGAAUGCGUGGUGUAGCGGUGAAAUGCAUAGAUAUCACGCAGAACUCCGAUUGCGAAGGCAGCAUACCGGCGCCCAACUGACGCUGAAGCACGAAAGCGUGGGUAUCGAACAGGAUUAGAUACCCUGGUAGUCCACGCAGUAAACGAUGAAUACUAGCUGUUCGGGGCAAUUGGGCCUUGAGUGGCACAG